rnacentral:rRNA from 2 species
UGAGCGGCGGACGGGUGAGUAACGCGUGGGAACGUGCCCUUCUCUGCGGAAUAGCCACUGGAAACGGUGAGUAAUACCGCAUACGCCCUUCGGGGGAAAGAUUUAUCGGAGAAGGAUCGGCCCGCGUUAGAUUAGAUAGUUGGUGGGGUAAUGGCCUACCAAGUCUACGAUCUAUAGCUGGUUUUAGAGGAUGAUCAGCCACACUGGGACUGAGACACGGCCCAGACUCCUACGGGAGGCAGCAGUGGGGAAUCUUAGACAAUGGGCGAAAGCCUGAUCUAGCCAUGCCGCGUGAGUGAUGAAGGUCUUAGGAUCGUAAAGCUCUUUCGCCAGGGAUGAUAAUGACAGUACCUGGUAAAGAAACCCCGGCUAACUCCGUGCCAGCAGCCGCGGUAAUACGGAGGGGGUUAGCGUUGUUCAGAAUUACUGGGCGUAAAGCGCGCGUAGGCGGAUUGGAAAGUUGGGGGUGAAAUCCCGGGGCUCAACCCCGGAACUGCCUCCAAAACUCCCAGUCUAGAGUUCGAGAGAGGUGAGUGGAACUCCGAGUGUAGAGGUGAAAUUCGUAGAUAUUCGGAAGAACACCAGUGGCGAAGGCGGCUCACUGGCUCGAUACUGACGCUGAGGUGCGAAAGUGUGGGGAGCAAACAGGAUUAGAUACCCUGGUAGUCCACACCGUAAACGAUGAAUGCCAGUCGUCGGGUAGUAUACUGCUCGGUGACACACCUAACGGAUUAAGCAUUCCGCCUGGGGAGUACGGUCGCAAGAUUAAAACUCAAAGGAAUUNACAG